GCGAAUAUAGCUCAGUUGGUAGAGCUUCUGCCUUCCAAGCAGAAUGUCAUCGGUUCGAUCCCGAUUAUUCGCUCCA
rnacentral:tRNA from 1 species